GCAUUCGGCUCUCUCCUGAGAAGGCAUCAGAGAGCAUCCAAAGGGGGAGAGCAUUCGGCUCUCCCAUGGGAAAGCAUGGGCAUGGGUGAGAGAAAAUCAAGAGAGCUAGAGUGAAAAGUAUUCUAGUGAAAGAACUCUUGGGGUAGAGUGAGGCUCUUGGGAAAAUUCUAUGAGUGGGUGUGCAAGGGAUUUGGGAUUGGGUUAUGUUGAUUUAACUCAUGUGUACUUGUACUGUUAUUCUCAUAGUGAAGAGCAAUAUCUCUCCGGGGACGUAGGCAGGAUUUUUGCUGAACCUCGUAAAUUUCUCGGUGUCUUUAUUUCUUGUAUUUUAUUCUGUUCAACUGAGUGUGAUUUUUGGUGAGGUUGUAAUCUGAAUCUCGUUUCCGCACUGAUGAACGGGCCAAGGCAUAACAAUUGGUAUCAGAGCAUCGUUGGAGACUUGGUUCGUUGGAGGUCCAGAUUUGUUGUUCACCAUGGAAUUUUCAGUUGAGCAGUUUAAUGGGAGAGGCAGUUUUACUCUUGGUAAAGGAGAGUAAUGGAAGCCUGAAGAAAUGGAAGCCGUGUUCAGGGAUGCUUACAUUAACUGCGAAAGUUGAUGUUGAGGAAGAAGACAAAGGCCUCUUUCUUCUUACCUCACUUUCAGAUUUGUACGAGAACCUUGUGAAACUUUACUGCAUGGAAAGUUACAGUAAGUUUGGAGCAGGAUCAAACUUCUUUGGUGUGGAAUGAUACACAAAGGAGACCAUAGAUGAUGGUGGGCACAAGACUGCUUAAAUUAUUAAAGGUCGGAAUCGUGGAAGAAAAUUGGAAAGAGGAUCUGAGAGAGACAGCAGGUUCAGAUCCGGUUCCGGAGGCAAGGGUCCACAGUGCUACGGUGCAAGGCCGGGUUGUAGCAAGUUUGUGGAGGAAGACUUUGAGUAUGCCCUCUAGGUACUCGAAACAACACUUCUCAUGGUGAUGUUUAGUCUCAAGUGUUGCAAGGGAUUUGCAGCAGGUGGAGCUAUGGGAUUCACAGGUGAUGAGAUGGUCCUAAAGGAAGAGAAGUGUGGGGAAUUUUGUCUGGCUCGAUGGGUUGUUGCUGGAAACGGGUGCACUGACGAGUUUCCAAGUUGCAGACAAUAAAGAAGGGGAAAAAAAACUGUUGGAGGAGACGAGGAUGUGUCGAGAUCCUGUCUGAAGCUAAAUUGUGAUUUUUAGCUUGCAGCAGCUGCACAUGCAUUGGCAGUGACUGAAUCGGAACAGGAUCAACGAGGUUUAUUCAGUGUGUGUAUGCUGGUACGUAAGGCCAAUGGACUUUGGUGAUGGGUGCAAGGAUUUUUUGCACAGUAUAUUCGCCAAGGUGGAGAUUGUUGUGAUUGGCUCAUAUUUUGAGCUGUUAACAAUUAAGUGACUUUGUGUGUUAUGCUUUCGGAAUAGUGGCCAAAUAUGUCCAUAUCUCAUUUUGGCUAAUAGUGGAAGACAAUAAUGAUGUUUCAUGGGAUUCCUUUGUUUUGGCAUUUUUUAUUCAUUUCCCAUUUGCAUGCCGAAAGUGGUUUUGGGUUUUGAGAAAAGGGAGCAUGAUGGAUCAUCAUUGUGUCUAUGAAAAAAAGGAGAAGUUGACUCACUUUUCUGUCCAUUUAAUUGCAAGGAGCCGAAGUGGAGAAAAGAGAGAGAGAGCAUUUGGCUCUCUCCUGAGAAGGCAUCAGAGAGCAUCCAAAGGGGGAGAGCAUUCGGCUCUCCCAUGGGAAAGCAUGGGCAUGGGUGAGAGAAAAUCAAGAGAGCUAGAGUGAAAAGUAUUCUAGUGAAAGAACUCUUGGGGUAGAGUGAGGCUCUUGGGAAAAUUCUAUGAGUGGGUGUGCAAGGGAUUUGGGAUUGGGUUAUGUUGAUUUAACUCAUGUGUACUUGUACUGUUAUUCUCAUAGUGAAGAGCAAUAUCUCUCCGGGGACGUAGGCAGGAUUUUUGCUGAACCUCGUAAAUUUCUCGGUGUCUUUAUUUCUUGUAUUUUAUUCUGUUCAACUGAGUGUGAUUUUUGGUGAGGUUGUAAUCUGAAUCUCGUUUUCGCACUGAUGAACGGGCCAAGGCACAACAUGUUCUGCAUCUCCC
rnacentral:lncRNA from 1 species